rnacentral:lncRNA from 1 species
CGGACCCCGGCCAAUCCCCCAGAUCUCCCCCGGGACCCCCCACCCCGCAGCCCACCCACCCGAGCGCACAGCUCCUCACCUGAGGGGCCCAGUCGCGUCGGGCCUCCCGAGGGGGCUGCGAGUGUCAGUCGGCUCUCCGCACGUGUCCGCGGCCUCGCGGAGCAGUCCACCCCUGGCUGGUUUCUGCUUCCACCUGCUGAUCUCACAGAGGUGAGGUGAUAACAGUGAUGAAACAAAAUCUUCAAACCACAGCACACUUGAUUUUGACACAAAGCAAGAUACUGAACAUUAACACCACCACAGAGGCCUACUAUGUGCUCCUGUCCCUGUUGUUACUUCCUCCAAAGCACUGCAAGCUAUUUGGCAUAUGAAGGUCUUGACCUGAGAAAACCAUCUUGGAUAACUGCAGCAAGGAAAAGGAAAAAUGCAACACCUAGGAGAUUUCAGUAAACAGUAGAAUCAUGCCAACCUAAUCUGUGUUAAAAUGCUUGGAAUGUGGGAGCCGCUGAUGAUGCCUCUUGUCUGUGUGUCUGACUGAAUCCUUUCUUUUCUCAGAGCAGCAAAGCAAAGCCUGGGAACCAGGCCAAAUGCCUGCCACUUACCUUAAAUUGAUCAGCCACUUUGAGAUUAAAACCCCUGAAAGCUGCCACACCGUGAAAACAAGGCCUCCUUCACAUUAAAGGCAAAUUGCGACUUUGGGUUUGCUGUGAUCUUUUUUCCAUUUUAUCCAGUUUUUCACAGUGCACUUUUUUCCCCCUUUCCAUUUAUGCUCCAAUAUAGAAGCCAAUAGUUACAGCAUCUUGGCCAAGCAUUCAUUAAGGUUUAUAAGAACAAAAUUUAUGGUUAUUUAGGAGUUGGCACAAAGGCAGACUGUUGCUGGAAAAAGAAAAAGAAAUACAGGUUGCUCUGCAGCAGACCUAUUUAAUUGUGCAUGGAUAUAAGUGAUUCAUCCUAACUAUACAUGCUUAAAGCUCCCCAGGGGAAAGGGGAAUGACCUUCCUGAUAUCUCUCCACCAUUCUUGUAACAGUCCUCUGUUCUGAAAAGACACUCAUUAAAUCUGGAAAAUUGAAGAUGCACAGAAUCUUUUGUGUCAUUUCAUAAAAUGCCAGCUACAACUCUGGAUGCAUGAGCACACAUGUGACCAUCACUUGCAAAUAAUACUGAUUAUUUCUGAGCCUGGGUUAGUCUGUUUAGCAAUCAUAAUAAGACAUUUGCCUUGUUUUGCAGAGUGUCAGAAAGCCACAGCCAUGAUAAAAGGAAACACAGAAAAAGCUAUGGCUCAGUGUGUUGGUCAACUCUGUUUCUGCCCCUUUUUAACCAGUUUGUCUUAUAAGUUUGUCGUUAAAAUUUUCCAUCACACCUAAUAGACUUUUAUCUUGAUCAUCAAUUUUAUAACUUCCAAGUCUUCAUACUUCAUAUUUCCUAUUAAUUGUGAUUGUUCUGUGUUUCUUUUUUUUCUAUUUUUUUAAAAAUUAUCUUUAAGUUCUGGGGUGCAUGUGCAGAACCUGCAGUUUUGUUACAUAGGUAUGCAUGUGCCAUGGUGGUUUGCUGCACCCGCGAAUCCAUCCACUACUUGAGGUAUUUCUCCUAAUGCUAUCCCUCUCCUAGCCCCCCACCCCGACAGGCCCUGGUAUGUGAUGUUCCCCUCCCU